UGGAAAAAAAUGAGCAUGUAAAUGACAGGAUUUAUAUAUGGAAAAAAAUGAGCAUGUAUAUGACUGGAUUUAUAUGGAAAAAAAUGAGCAUGUAAAUGACUGGAUUUAUAUAUGGAAAAAAAAUGAGCAUGUAAAUGACUGGAUUUAUAUAAUUAUGGAAAAAAAUGAGCAUGUAAAUGACUGGAUUUAUAUAUGGAAAAAAAUGAGCAUGUAAAUGACUGGAUUUGUAUAUGGAAAAAAAUGAGCAUGAUCUUUCUCUGAUUAAUACCAGGUUUAUUCUAAACAAAUAUAUUAUUUAUCAAGUGAAAACUACUUACUUUAAGUUAUUUUAAAUUGAAAGAACACAAAUAUGAUAUCUGAAUGAAUGUUUUCUUUCUUCUAUGACCGUUUAAGCAUUUUGACAAAUGUUUGAUUCAGAAAGCCCAAAGUUAUUUCUCAUGGUGACACAAAACAUAGGGUUAGGUUUGGUAUUGCCUUUAAAGUUUCCACUGUGUUCACAGUUUGCAUUGAAAUUUAAAAAAUCCAAUUAGAACCAGAUUUGCAAAUAGAAUAGGUUGAUGUAGGCUGCUAAGGUACUGGAGUUUCAUGUUCAGUAGGAAUUCAUUAAUACUGAAUGAAGACAGUGUUUUAAUGGCAAUAUGAUAGCAUGUCUAGACUAGUAUAAAGGAUGUGAUGUUGGUAAUGUUUACUGCUGAAUUAUGGAAAAAGGACUACUUUUUUUCAGGAGUGGUAGGUUAAAAUUUUUGUGGCAAGAAAUGUUGAUGUUUGCUGCAACUAUUUGAUUCUUCAGAUUACACCAACUUGUGUUCAUUUUUGUUUUGUUUUCAUUGUGUGCUAUAUUAUUUGCAUGCUAGCACAUUGUAUUUUAUUUAUAGAAAAUAGAUAGUAGAUCUAUAGGAUUAAAAUGUUUCCAUCUCAACUUACUAUAGAACUAUAGAAAUCCAUCUUGGAAGUGACUAUGUUGUUUUAAUGUUCUUUUAUUUGUAAAUUUUAACCAUUGUUAUGUGUUAGAAGAAUUAUACUCUCAACUAGGUGAUCUUCAUCAGUUGAUAAUGUGAAACACUGAGAUAAACUUUGUCAAUUUAUAUUGGAAAAAAUUAAAAAGAUAAUGCUUGAUACAGGAUACACUUAAUGGUAAUCUUUGUCAGUUUAUACUGAAAACACUUAAAAGAUAAUACUGUCCAGUUUAGUCUAGAUACUGGAGUUCUAGUGUACAAAUAUUGUUCCUUUGUACAGAUUUCUUCAACAUGAUUUCUCCAGGUUGUCAUGUGAUCAUUUUUGGUUUGUCCUUUAUCAGGCAUAUUUUAUGUAAGUUAGUAAGAUAUUUUCAAUGACAAAGAAAGUCUGUCUCGGGAAUACAAACUUGUUGUUGAAAGAGAGUACUGACAAAUUGAUACAUAACUUCAUCAGUGGCCAGUUUAAUAAAAAAAAAAGCAAUGUGAGAGAAAACAUUGCCUAUUGUUAUAUAUUCUUUUAACAAAGUACCAAUUUUCAAAAGUACUUUACAUGAUUGUUUUAUUUUCCACCAUGUUUGAGCUCGUCUUUUUAGAAUAAUUGAUAUGUGCAUAAUAAUUAUGAUCCUCAACUUACAGAGACCCAUAUUUCUGUACUUCUAGUUAAAGUUAUAAAAUCAUAAAAUUUUCAUUUCUCGUCAUGUUUAGUUUUGAUUGGUUUAAUGAAGCUCUGGAUGGAAGAAGUCAGCUGGGGAUUUUUUUUAUGCUAUUUGUUGUUAGUUUCAUUUUACUGACUGAGAGGAUUAAUGGUACUGCAUGUGUAUGGAGAAUGUUGUGGGGUUUUCAGAUCACUUGAGCAGGUGAUUUUGCAAAUGCUCUGUGGCUGUUUGGGUUUUUCAGCUUACCUGAGGUAGCAAGUUUUUGCAAUCACUCUGUAGCUGUUGUGGGAUAUAAGCUCACAUGCACUGUUGUGAGUGUUCGGUUUACCUAAGUAACUCAUGUUUUGCAAUUACUUUGUGGGUUUUGGCUUACUUGAGCAAGUGAGGUUUUGUGAUUGUUAUAUGGCUAUUUCAGGGUUUCAGCUCUCCUGAGCAGGAAAGGGUUUGCAAUCACCAUAUGCCUGUUGUGGUCAAAAUCAGUUAUAUUCCUUAGGUGUUCCUAUACAAGAUUGCUUGAAAUCUAGAUCAUUUAUGUAGAAUUCUGGUUGAAGUGGCAACCAAAAAAGAAUUAGGGGAAAAAUCUAGCCAGAUUUCAAACUGUUUUAACAGAAGUGUUCAUUGGGUGACCCACUACCAAAUAUCUUCAAGCUAUGUCGAUUUGUCUUACAACAUGGCUAGUGGUCAAGGCUAGUUUUCUCGAGAUAGCUCUCUGCAAAAUUUUAAAAAUCUCUGAAAUUAUUGUCUUGAUUUCUAAAUGAUUCCGCAAAUAUUUUCCUUUGAUGACCUUCCACUAAAUUAUUUCAGACUUAAUUAAAGCUUAAAAGCAUGGUCACUUCUCUUUAAAUACAUACUGGAAAGUUGAAACAGAGAAAAGAAAAAUGAUCAGAUUAAGCUUCUGGCAUUUACAAAACAGUUGCUAAUAAAAAAAAAAUGGCCACUUUUAAAGUCUAUUCUACUUAACCAGAAAUGGAAAUAUUCUAGUAAACAUAACAUCUGUUGUCAUAAUGUGACUACUUUGAAAGUGGAAAUAAUCUGUUAACAUCUAUUGUUAUAAUCUGUAUAUUUUGAAAAUGGAAAUAAUCUGUCGAACAACACAUCUGCUGUUGUAAUGUGACUACUUUGAAAGUGGAAAUAAACUUCUAAAUGCCACAUCUAUUGUUAUAAUAUGACUACUUUGAACAUGGAAAGAUUCGUUAAACACCACCUCUUUUGUUCUAACAUGACUACUGUGAACGUGGAAAUAAUCUGUUAAACACCACAUCUAUUGUUCUAACAUGACUACAUUGAAAAUGGAAAUAAUCUGUUGAACACCACAUCUGUUGUUAUAAUGUGACUACUAUGAACAUGGAAAUAUUUGUUAAACACCAAAUCUGUUGUUAUAAUCUGUAUAUUUUUUGAAAAUGGAAAUAAUCUGUUAAAAACCACUUUGUAAUGUUAUUAUCUGUAUAUUUUGGUCUUUUAUCACUAUUUGAUAUUAUGGGUUAGGAGAGCAAAGUUUGCCAAUGGACAACACUUUGAGUAACUCAGCCGGGGAGGAAAGACGGGUUUUACCAAUUCAAAAUAAUUUUAUAAAAAAUAUUCUUUGUGUGACCUCGAAAAUGUGUUUACACUAUUUUGAAUUUGCUAAAGAGGUGUGGUCUUUUUUUUCUCAUGUGUGUGUAGUGAAAACAUUUUAAAAAAUCCACUUGUCUGGAAGACCAGUCCUGGUCCAGUUUAAAGAUAUGUCAGAAGAUCCUUCCUUUAUGUAACCAUCUAUGAAGAUAGUUCAGGCCAUUUUGACAUAU
rnacentral:lncRNA from 1 species